UACGAAGGGGGCUAGCGUUGCUCGGAAUCACUGGGCGUAAAGCGCACGUAGGCGGAUCGUUAAGUCAGGGGUGAAAUCCUGGAGCUCAACUCCAGAACUGCCUUUGAUACUGAGGAUCUUGAGUUCGGGAGAGGUGAGUGGAACUGCGAGUGUAGAGGUGAAAUUCGUAGAUAUCGAGAGGAACACCGGUGGCGAAGGCGGCCUUCUGGACAGUGACUGACGCUGAGACGCGAAAGCGUGGGGAGCAAACAGG
rnacentral:rRNA from 1 species